AGUUUCACUGUAUUGCUGGCCAAUUAGGUUCAACACAGUGCCUUCUGAUAUUUCCUACAAAUAUGAGCUUGGUGAAUAAAGAAUUGGCUUUCUGCAUGAAGAAAAUGGAGCCUGGGCUGAUUUAUUCCAACAGAAGGUGUCCCCAAAGACGUGAUCGACUCGAGAUUAACAGCCUGUCACAAAAGGAGGAGGUGAAACCAGCCAAGCCGACCGCGGGACGGGAUUUAGAGACGGAAUAAACAAAGAUGUGAAAGGGAGAUUGCAGCCAGCACAGGAACAGCGCAGCACUGGCCACAGGAUCAGCACGGAUAGAAAUUCAAGGAGCGGAUAUGCAAAGGAGCAAAAGGGAUAUGCAAAGGAGGAAAAGGGAUAUGGAAAGGAGCAAAAGGGAUAUGGAAAGCAGCAAAAGGGGUAUGGAAAGGAGCAAAAGGGAUAUGGAAAGCAGCAAAAGGGAUAUGCAAAGCAGCAAAAGGGAUAUGCAAAGGAGCAAAAGGUUACGGCUACGGUCAGCAGCGGGAUCGGUGUGCAACCAGCAAAGACAAGAGGCGGUGAAGCAGAGCCAGGGAAGGGGCAGAAGGUGUGGAAUGCACAGAAAUGAACACAACAGCUGGGAGAAAAUGAAACACAAAGCAGUGCGAACAGAACCGCGAACUGCAAACGCCGUCCUGGACCGCGGAGGAUGCGCAGCCCAAAGAGCCGCAAAAGAGUUCCAAGAAAAGAUACCUGAGCUUCAUUGAAACCUUGCUCCAAACUGCUAAUCUGGUGGUUUGCCCCAGUUAUUAUCACAGAAGCACUCCAGCAAUUUGCUGUGUUUGAAGCAUCUCAAUCCUGAAGGACAUUUCAGAGGGAUCCAGCUACUGCAUGGUUCGAUUAUUCUUUAACCCCAAGGCCUUUACUCAUAACCGCUAUUUUUAGGAACCUUGUUUUAAAAUGUAUUUAAGGAAUUCAUUCCCAGUUGGAGCCUGAGUGAUGGCCAGGCCUUGGCUCUACCUGGAUGGAGAAUUUGCCAACAAACCCAAAUGUUUUCUGCAUCAAAACCAGAUUCAGGUCACUUUGACUUGAAAAUUUGACCCUUUAUAUAUGAUAGCUGAACCUAUUUUUAAAGUAAGCUUGGGAAUUAUUAUCUGGAAAUAAUUAUCCAAGCCCUCACUAAAUUGAGGUUUGUCAUCUGUUUGCAGAUUCUGGGAUGAUGGUACAGUAUUUCAGAGACUCCUAAUUACCUAAUUUCACAUGUAUUAUUAAUUAUGUGUAUUAUCUGAAAUAUUCUUAAUUGUUCUACCUGAAUUAUUCUUGAUUACUGUCAGUUUCUUGUUCACUACAUGUAUUGUUUUGCCUUGAUGUUUCUUCAUGCAAAUGAGAAGUAGAUUUAACACAACACAAUCUAUUCUGAUGGUGAAAAACAAAUGCACCUGUGUAAACAAUGAAAUUUGUCCCAUGAGAACUCACAAAGGAAAAGUGUAAACAUAUCUAGAGAGAGAAAAUUUGAUAGAAUUUUGCAAUAUGAAUGAACUGAAUUUCACUGUAUUGCUCAGCAAUUAGGUUUAACACAGUGCCUUCUGAUAUUUCCUACAAAUAUGAGCUUGUUGAAUAAAGAAUUGGCUUUCUGCAAGAA